UACGAGGGGGGCAAGCGUUGUUCGGAAUUACUGGGCGUAAAGCGCGUGUAGGCUGCUCUGCAAGUCGGAUGUGAAAGCCCUGGGCUCAACCUAGGAAGUGCACUCGAAACUGCAGAGCUUGAGUCCUGGAGAGGAAGGCGGAAUUCUCGGUGUAGAGGUGAAAUUCGUAGAUAUCGAGAGGAACACCGGUGGCGAAGGCGGCCUUCUGGACAGUGACUGACGCUGAGACGCGAAAGCGUGGGGAGCAAACAGG
rnacentral:rRNA from 1 species